CCUACGGGAGGCAGCAGUGAGGAAUAUUGGUCAAUGGACGAGAGUCUGAACCAGCCAAGUAGCGUGAAGGAUGACUGCCCUAUGGUUUGUAAACUUCUUUUAUAAAGGAAUAAAACGAGGCACGUGUGCCUUUUUGCAUGUACUUUAUGAAUAAGGAUCGGCUAACUCCGUGCCAGCAGCCGCGGUAAUACGGAGGAUCCGAGCGUUAUCCGGAUUUAUUGGGUUUAAAGGGAGCGUAGAUGGGUUGUUAAGUCAGUUGUGAAAGUUUGCGGCUCAACCGUAAAAUUGCAAUUGAUACUGGAAGUCUUGAGUACAGUUGAGGUAGGCGGAAUUCGUGGUGUAGCGGUGAAAUGCUUAGAUAUCACGAAGAACCCCGAUUGCGAAGGCAGCUUACUAAGCUGUGACUGACACUGAUGCUCGAAAGUGUGGGUAUCAAACAGGAUUAGAUACCCCAGUAGUC
rnacentral:rRNA from 1 species